GUGGGGAAUAUUGGACAAUGGGCGGAAGCCUGAUCCAGCCAUGCCGCGUGUGUGAAGAAGGCCUUUUGGUUGUAAAGCACUUUAAGCGAGGAGGAGGCUCCUUUAGUUAAUACCUAAAGUGAGUGGACGUUACUCGCAGAAUAAGCACCGGCUAACUCUGUGCCAGCAGCCGCGGUAAUACAGAGGGUGCGAGCGUUAAUCGGAUUUACUGGGCGUAAAGCGUGCGUAGGCGGCUUUUUAAGUCGGAUGUGAAAUCCCUGAGCUUAACUUAGGAAUUGCAUUCGAUACUGGAAAGCUAGAGUAUGGGAGAGGAUGGUAGAAUUCCAGGUGUAGCGGUGAAAUGCGUAGAGAUCUGGAGGAAUACCGAUGGCAAAGGCAGCCAUCUGGCCUAAUACUGACGCUGAGGUACGAAAGCAUGGGGAGCAAACAGGAUUAGAUACCCGAGUAGUCC
rnacentral:rRNA from 1 species